AUGCCUAAGCUGUCCAGUUUCAGGGCUUCUCUUUCUUGGCAGGGAGCAUGAGAAGCCAUAGCUCUGCUCUGUUCUGCCCUCUGCCAAAGGAGAGUUGCCCUGUAACAGGACUCAGCUUAUG
rnacentral:pre_miRNA from 1 species